AAGAUUGGAGAGAGCUUCUCCUUUUUCAGUGCAAACAGAUAAAGUGAAAAAAUAUAUAAAUAGUUCUAAGUAUAAAGUCUUACAGGACAGUGCAAUGAAAAUCUCUAUGUACAUACACAAGAAUACA